UAUGUAUGCGGAUGCGUGACAGCGGAGUUUGAACGGACACAUGCUUUUUAGUUUUUCCCCUUCUAAGCCAGCAGUGGAGAACAGUAGCUUUGAUUGUGAAGGCACGACGAAAAGCCAAAGAGAAAAAGAGCAAGGCCGAAUAAGGAUUUAGUGCAUCAGUCAACGGCAACUAUAGGUACUUCUCCCUUGAUUGUGAAGGCACGACGAAAAGCCAAAGAGAAAAGGAGCAAGGCCGAAGAAGGAUUUAGUGCAUCAGUCAACGGCAACUAUAGGUACUUCUCCCUUGCAUGUGCUUUUUCACAUGCACGCUUGUGUAUGUUUACCACUCUCCAUAGAGAC
rnacentral:lncRNA from 1 species